rnacentral:lncRNA from 1 species
CUGAUUUUGAUUUGUAAGUCUGAAGUAUUUUCUGAGCUGACUUUUUGAGAGACCUGGAACACACUUCAAGGAAAUUUAAAAGGAAGACGAUUGGUGGGAUUGGUAAGAUGAGG